rnacentral:rRNA from 1 species
UACGGGGGGUGCAAGCGUUAUCCGGAUUUAUUGGGUUUAAAGGGUCCGCAGGCGGACUUGUAAGUCAGUGGUGAAAGCCUUCAGCUUAACUGGAGAAUUGCCAUUGAUACUGCUGGUCUUGAGUUCGGUUGAAGUGGGCGGAAUAUGUAGUGUAGCGGUGAAAUGCAUAGAUAUUACAUAGAACACCUAUUGCGAAGGCAGCUCACUAAGCCGAUACUGACGCUCAGGGACGAAAGCGUGGGGAGCGAACAGG